rnacentral:lncRNA from 1 species
AAAGAAUAGAAUAAAUCAUAUUUCAUCCUCUCUAACAUUCCAGCCAGCACAGGUUCAAACAGGGCGUCUAAAGAAUAACCUCCCCAGGGUUCAACUUCCCGGCUGUGUUACCAGACCAGGGGUCCUGGGCUGAGGAGAGCUGAUGGAGGAGCCUGGAAUCUGCCUGCCAACAAGUAGUACUGGGCGUGGCAGAGGGAGGUGAUGGAGGACCACCCUGGUGAAGGAUGUCCUGCUGGACGAGAGACACCAACUCUAAAGGGACGACCACUGAGGAGAGAGAGCUAGAGCCGUGCAUCUGGAAGGUGAAUCUGGUGCCGACGGCCCUCUACAGGCCAGGAUAAGUCUGGGGCCGACGCACCUGAGCGGCACCCCACCUGCUCCUCUGCACAGCUGGACUCCUUCAGAGGGACAAACAAACGGCAUCACAGCCGAGCUCAUCGCUGGACUGGAUUCAUCUCCUACACUCAGACCUUCACCUCAUGCUGCUCACUGGGACCCUCCUCAGGGCUCUCAUUGGGACUCCCCUCAGGGCGUCCAUCAGGGCUCCUCCCCUCAGUGGGGGGGCUCCUGCUCCCCGCAGUCGGGUGUUCCUCAGGGUACAGUGUUAGGGAGAGAUCGUCGAGGUAUCGGCUGGUUUCCACAUGGGAUGGAUAUCGGACACAAUGCUUCCCCAAAAUGUUUAAAUGUGCAAAUGCUUUUUGAAAUGUGUUCUUAUUGUGUUUGUUGAUAUAAAAAUACAAAAUAUGCAACCUGGUUGUGUGGCUUCUUCAGU